CAGCUGAACUUACUGGGCAUCGCGGCGGCGGCUGCGGCCCAGGCAGGAGGGUCCGUGGAAAUGAAACUGAAAGUCGCCGCCGCGGAUGUUUCAUCCCAGGCCCCCAAAUACCUGAUAACAUCUAAGAACCGGAUCCCAAGCACAUUCUGGGACAUUAGCUUCGAACAAACCUUGGUUGACACUGGCAUUAACACACCCUACCUUUGGUGAUUUAUGGAAUACACCUAUUGUUCACCUGGCACUCACCUUUAACUGGAAACUACCCUGAAUUCCUGAAGGAACAUGUACCCUGGAUCCCUUUCCAGUAUAAAUCCCUAACCCCAAGUGAUGGGGAGACUCACUUUUCCUUUUCUGAGUCUCCCAGACACUCCAUCUGCUAACUUACACUAUUCAAUAAACUCUGCUCUCACUUC